AUGCUCCUCGACCACAUCUCCACGAACCACUCCCGCCAAGUCAUCCUCAUGCGCUACGGCCAGACGGGGAGGCUCAGCCUUGUUGGAAUUAACCAGGUUGUCCAGACGACAUGGCCAACCGCCAACCGGCAUCGGAGCGUGUUCCUCGUGGUCUUGGCCGAGCGCGACAAGGACUCUGCGGUGUCGCUGGUGUGCGUCAGGGCGGACGGUGACGCACCGGGCGCGCCGCAGUUCUCGUCCAAGCUCGCCGUGGAGCACACCGGCAGUGGCGCGAGGGUGACGUUUGAGUUACUGGUCAUGAAAAGCAGCUCCCUGCCCGCUGGCACGCCAUGGCCGGACGAGUUUACGUCCCUGUCGGUGCCGAAAGCGUAUCUGUCUGGCGACAUUGUCCCCCUCACCAUCCACAUUGACAAACACAUUCCUCCUCCUCCCCCUCCUGCUGCCGCCCCUACUAGUCCUCUUCCUCCUCCUCCUCCUUCUCCUGCAGCCUCGGCUACCACCAACGUCAAGUCCGCGCCGAUUGAUCAAGGCAGCAAGAAACGAAAAUCUAUCAAUCCGAAGAAACUCUAG
rnacentral:rRNA from 1 species